rnacentral:lncRNA from 1 species
GCUUGGGAAAGACUCUAUAUGCUCUACCUACAUUUGGAUCUAUCUCCCUGAUCUUCCUUUAGAAUUAUGCGAGACUGAUAAAAUUCUAAAGCUAGUUUCUGUAACUAGAACUCCACUCUUUGUUGAUGAUUGAACAACUACUUUGGCUCGAAUGACAUUUGCUAUUCAAUAGUUGUUGACAUUACCAAAUCUUCAUGCCUAGGGGCUAAGAUUCGGUUAGAUGAUACUAUCAUGUGGCAACAGUUCACCUACGAGGAAUUAUCGAAGUUGUGUUAUUCAUACGGUAAACUGACAACUCCAAUGUCUUAUGCUUGUGCUGAAGCAACUAUGAUAUUAGAGACAAAGCUGGUCUAUAGUCUGUGGAUUUGAGUGGCAAG